AGAGUUUGAUCCUGGCUCAGGAUGAACGCUGGCGGCGUGCUUAACACAUGCAAGUCGAACGAACCUUCGGGUUAGUGGCGGACGGGUGAGUAACGCGUGAGAAUCUGCCCUCAGGAGGGGGAUAACGGCCGGAAACGGCCGCUAAUACCCCAUAUGCCGAGAGGUGAAACGAAUUUCGCCUGGGGAUGAGCUCGCGUCUGAUUAGCUAGUUGGUGAGGUAAUGGCUCACCAAGGCUUCGAUCAGUAGCUGGUCUGAGAGGAUGAUCAGCCACACUGGGACUGAGACACGGCCCAGACUCCUACGGGAGGCAGCAGUGGGGAAUUUUCCGCAAUGGGCGCAAGCCUGACGGAGCAACGCCGCGUGAGGGACGAAGGCCUCUGGGCUGUAAACCUCUUUUCUCAAGGAAGAAGACAUGACGGUACUUGAGGAAUAAGCCACGGCUAAUUCCGUGCCAGCAGCCGCGGUAAUACGGGAGUGGCAAGCGUUAUCCGGAAUUAUUGGGCGUAAAGCGUCCGCAGGCGGCCUUGAAAGUCUGUUGUUAAAGCGUGGAGCUCAACUCCAUUUAAGCAAUGGAAACUACAAGGCUAGAGUGUGGUAGGGGCAGAGGGAAUUCCCGGUGUAGCGGUGAAAUGCGUAGAUAUCGGGAAGAACACCAGUGGCGAAGGCGCUCUGCUGGGCCAUAACUGACGCUCAUGGACGAAAGCCAGGGGAGCGAAAGGGAUUAGAUACCCCUGUAGUCCUGGCCGUAAACGAUGAACACUAGGUGUCGGGAGAAUUAACCCUUCCGGUGUCGUAGCCAACGCGUUAAGUGUUCCGCCUGGGGAGUACGCACGCAAGUGUGAAACUCAAAGGAAUUGACGGGGGCCCGCACAAGCGGUGGAGUAUGUGGUUUAAUUCGAUGCAACGCGAAGAACCUUACCAGGGUUUGACAUCCUGCGAAUCCCUUGGAAACGAGGGAGUGCCUUCGGGAACGCAGUGACAGGUGGUGCAUGGCUGUCGUCAGCUCGUGUCGUGAGAUGUUGGGUUAAGUCCCGCAACGAGCGCAACCCACGUCUUUAGUUGCCAGCAUUUAGUUGGGCACUCUAGAGAGACCGCCGGUGAUAAACCGGAGGAAGGUGUGGAUGACGUCAAGUCAUCAUGCCCCUUACAUCCUGGGCUACACACGUACUACAAUGCUACGGACAAAGGGCAGCAAACUCGCGAGAGCUAGCAAAUCCCAUAAACCGUGGCUCAGUUCAGAUCGUAGGCUGCAACUCGCCUACGUGAAGGAGGAAUCGCUAGUAAUCGCAGGUCAGCAUACUGCGGUGAAUACGUUCCCGGGCCUUGUACACACCGCCCGUCACACCAUGGAAGUUGGCCAUGCCCGAAGUCGUUACUCCAACCCGCAAGGGAGGAGGACGCCGAAGGUGGGGCUGAUGACUGGGGUGAAGUCGUAACAAGGUAGCCGUACCGGAAGGUGCGGCUG
rnacentral:rRNA from 1 species